UACAGAGGGUGCGAGCGUUAAUCGGAAUUACUGGGCGUAAAGCGUGCGUAGACGGUUAUUUAAGUCGGAUGUGAAAGCCCCGGGCUCAACCUGGGAAUUGCCUUUAAGACUGCAUCGCUUGAACAUCGGAGAGGUAAGUGGAAUUCCGAGUGUAGAGGUGAAAUUCGUAGAUAUUCGGAAGAACACCAGUGGCGAAGGCGACUUACUGGACGAUUGUUGACGCUGAGGUGCGAAAGCGUGGGGAGCAAACAGG
rnacentral:rRNA from 1 species